CCUACGGGGCGCACCAGUGGGGAAUAUUGGACAAUGGGCGCAAGCCUGAUCCAGCCAUGCCGCGUGUGUGAAGAAGGCCUUAUGGUUGUAAAGCACUUUAAGCGAGGAGGAGGCUACUUUAGAUAAUACCUAGAGAUAGUGGACGUUACUCGCAGAAUAAGCACCGGCUAACUCUGUGCCAGCAGCCGCGGUAAUACAGAGGGUGCAAGCGUUAAUCGGAUUUACUGGGCGUAAAGCGCGCGUAGGCGGCUAAUUAAGUCAAAUGUGAAAUCCCCGAGCUUAACUUGGGAAUUGCAUUCGAUACUGGUUAGCUAGAGUGUGGGAGAGGAUGGUAGAAUUCCAGGUGUAGCGGUGAAAUGCGUAGAGAUCCGGAGGAAUACCGAUGGCGAAGGCAGCCAUCUGGCCUAACACUGACGCUGAGGUGCGAAAGCAUGGGGAGCAAACAGGAUUAGAUACCCGAGUAGUC
rnacentral:rRNA from 1 species